rnacentral:rRNA from 1 species
UACGUAGGGGGCGAGCGUUGUCCGGAAUCAUUGGGCGUAAAGAGCGUGUAGGCGGCCCGAUAAGUCCGCUGUGAAAGUCCAGGGCUCAACCCUGGGAUGCCGGUGGAUACUGUCGGGCUCGAGUCCGGAAGAGGAGUGUGGAAUUCCUGGUGUAGCGGUGAAAUGCGCAGAUAUCAGGAGGAACACCAAUGGCGAAGGCAGCACUCUGGGACGUGACUGACGCUGAGACGCGAAAGCGUGGGGAGCAAACAGG